CCUAAGGUAGCGAAAUUCCUUGUCGGGUAAGUUCCGACCUGCACGAAUGGCGUAAUGAUGGCCAGGCUGUCUCCACCCGAGACUCAGUGAAAUUGAACUCGCUGUGAAGAUGCAGUGUACCCGCGGCAAGACGGAAAGACCCCGUGAACCUUUACUAUAGCUUGACACUGAACACUGGUCCUUGAUGUGUAGGAUAGGUGGGAGGCUUUGAAGCGUGGACGCCAGUCUGCGUGGAGCCAACCUUGAAAUACCACCCUUUAAUGGCUGGUGUUCUAACGUAGACCCGUGAUCCGGGUUGCGGACAGUGUCUGGUGGGUAGUUUGACUGGGGCGGUCUCCUCCCAAAGAGUAACGGAGGAGCACGAAGGUUAGCUAAUCCUGGUCGGACAUCAGGAGGUUAGUGCAAUGGCAUAAGCUAGCUUGACUGCGAGAGUGACGGCUCGAGCAGGUGCGAAAGCAGGUCAUAGUGAUCCGGUGGUUCUGAAUGGAAGGGCCAUCGCUCAACGGAUAAAAGGUACUCCGGGGAUAACAGGCUGAUACCGCCCAAGAGUUCAUAUCGACGGCGGUGUUUGGCACCUCGAUGUCGGCUCAUCACAUCCUGGGGCUGAAGUAGGUCCCAAGGGUAUGGCUGUUCGCCAUUUAAAGUGGUACGCGAGCUGGGUUUAGAACGUCGUGAGACAGUUCGGUCCCUAUCUGCCGUGGGCGCUGGAGAAUUGAGGGGGGCUGCUCCUAGUACGAGAGGACCGGAGUGGACGCAUCACUGGUGUUCGGGUUGUCAUGCCAAUGGCACUGCCCGGUAGCUAAAUGCGGAAGAGAUAAGUGCUGAAAGCAUCUAAGCACGAAACUUGCCCCGAGAUGAGUUCUCCCUGAGACUUAAAGUCUCCUGAAGGAACGUUGAAGACGACGACGUUGAUAGGUCGGGUGUGUAAGCGCAGCGAUGCGUUGAGCUAACCGAUACUAAUGAACCGUGAGGCUUAACCUUACAACGCCGAAG
rnacentral:rRNA from 1 species